rnacentral:rRNA from 1 species
GACGAACGCUGGCGGCGUGCUUAACACAUGCAAGUCGAACGGAAAGGCCCUGCUUGCCGGGUACUCGAGUGGCGAACGGGUGAGUAACACGUGGGUGAUCUGCCCUGCACUUCGGGAUAAGCCUGGGAAACUGGGUCUAAUACCGGAUAGGAGCCAUUUUUAGUGUGAUGGUUGGAAAGUUUUUUCGGUGUAGGAUGAGCUCGCGGCCUAUCAGCUUGUUGGUGGGGUAAUGGCCUACCAAGGCGGCGACGGGUACCCGGCCUGAGAGGGUGGACGGCCACAUUGGGACUGAGAUACGGCCCAGACUCCUACGGGAGGCAGCAGUGGGGAAUAUUGCACAAGGGGCGCAAGCCUGAUGCAGCGACGCCGCGGGGGGGAUGACGGCCUUCGGGUUGUAAACUCCUUUCGCUAGGGACGAAGCUUUUUGUGACGGUACCUAGAUAAGAAGCACCGGCUAACUACGUG